rnacentral:rRNA from 1 species
AGUGAACGCUGGCGGUAGGCCUAACACAUGCAAGUCGAACGGCAGCACAGUAAGAGCUUGCUCUUACGGGUGGCGAGUGGCGGACGGGUGAGGAAUACAUCGCAAUCUACUUUUUCGUGGGGGAUAACGUAGGGAAACUUACGCUAAUACCGCAUACGACCUACGGGAGAAAGCAGGGGAUCUUCGGACCUUGCGCGAUAGAAUGAGCCGAUGUCGGAUUAGCUAGUUGGCGGGGUAAAGGCCCACCAAGGCGACGAUACGUAGCUGGUCUGAGAGGAUGAUCAGCCACACUGGAACUGAGACACGGUCCAGACUCCUACGGGAGGCAGCAGUGGGGAAUCUUGCACAAUGGGCGCAAGCCUGAUCCAGCCAUACCGCGUGGGUGAAGAAGGCCUUCGGGUUGUAAAGCCCUUUUGUUAGGAAAGAAAAGCAGCAGGUUAAUCCCCCGCUGUUCUGACGGUACCCAAAGAAUAAGCGCCGGCUAACUUCGUG